UACAUUUGCAAGUCCUUUCAUCCAAGGCUCUUGGAGCAAUUAAUAAACACUGCUGCACUGCUGCAACAGAAGAAACAGUUGCUGCAAGAAAUUCUCAGUGGUAAAGCCUCCUGACUUACACAUGGUGUAGUGGCUGGGCAUCUAGUGACCAAGUCACCUUAGAAAAGGAGACUUCAACACCUGAAUUUGGACAAAUUUGAGAGUAUAUAGAUGCUUUCAGUGCUUCCCAAUUUUCUUUAUUGAAGAAGAUACAAGGACAGAGAGCUCAGUUCUGUUCUCUCACCCAGCUGGGAGCUGUUGGUACCAGCAAAGUUCAAAUCCAUGAUGUGCUGAACGUAGUCAUAAAAUAAUCAGUAGGAAGUGGAGAAAAUGGAAAUAAUGUGUACCUGCGGCAUCUGACAGGAUUUAUAUGGUCAGAAUUAGGCCCAGAAAUAGGACAUAAAGAAAGUAAUGUAAUUAUGACAGAGAAUCAAGGCUAUACCAUGCUUUUACCACAAAACUACCUUCCUGUAGACACAGAUUAUUAAAAUAUAGGGUAGGACUUUGAGGAAAACAACAAACCAAUUGGCUUUUAAGGAUAAGUGAAGUAACCAAACAUAACAUGUGGGCUAUCUAGGCUUUUUUGUGCAGAGAAACAACAUUCCUUGGACACAUGACCAUGUGAAAAACCAAACAGAUUGAAGCAAAAGUAACAAUUAUUCUAUUGCAACAGUGUUGUAAAAAGGAAGUGGAAAAAAAAGGAGAAAAAGCCUGAGUUCUUUACUUUGGCUUCUAACCUUAAUUCGAAAAAAACACCAAACAUCAGAGAAAUUGCAGUAUUUUGGUGCAGAGAGGCUUGGACAAACCAUUUUACUUCAUUUUGUUUUCUAACUUUUCAGAUACUUCUGGAGGGCUUGAAGAACUGUUUGAACUGUCAUGAGGCUGGUACAACUGAGGGCUGGAUGUGAUAUGGAAGGCCAGUGGUGACAGAGGCAAUGCUACAACAUGGGUGUCUGACCACUGGACUCCUGGAAGAAGCACCAUCAUCCCUUCUGUGAAUUAUGAUUGGCAAAAUUCUUCAUCUUGGGAAAGAUCUGAAGUGAGUUACAUAAAGCAGCUGCUGUUGGCAUUGCUUCCAUUCUUACAUGACCUAAUUGCAUGGAAAAGGAUGACUUAUGGUUAGGUAAAACUGGAAAACAGUUGCUGAACAGUGUUUGAUGUUUAGUAUUUGCUGAACUUGUUGUUUAGUGCAUCUGUUGGGGUAAUAGAUGUGUAAAGUGGGGUAUGUGUGCCAAAGGGAACAUUUCCUGCUGUGCUGUGCAGGGACAAUGGAGAAGUCAAGGAAAGUUCACUCUACUCUUAAACUCUUAGUUUUGUGAGCUGUUCUUUUGAAAUACAGGCAGGCUUUGCUGACCUGCUGCAUUUAAUCUCAAUAUCUACUCUGUCAUUAAAACACUGAUUUGUUUUUUUCUUCUGUACUGAAAAUUACACUGUUCCAUGAAAACUGCCAUCAUUUCUGGAGAAAACUGUGUCUAGUCUUCUAAAUCUUUGCAACUGGGCAUUAACAGCAUUAUAUGACUUCAGUGUAAAAUAAACAGGAAUGCUUGAAACA
ensembl:lncRNA